GAUGAACGCUGGCGGCGUGCCUAAUACAUGCAAGUCGAGCGAACAGAUGAGGAGCUUGCUCCUCUGACGUUAGCGGCGGACGGGUGAGUAACACGUGGAUAACCUACCUAUAAGACUUGGAUAACUUCGGGAAACCGGAGCUAAUACCGGAUAAUAUAUUGAACCGCAUGGUUCAAUAGUGAAAUACGGUUUUGCUGUCACUUAUAGAUGGAUCCGCGCCGCAUUAGCUAGUUGGUAAGGUAACGGCUUACGAUGGCAACGAUGCGUAGCCGACCUGAGAGGGUGAACGGCGACACUGGAGCUGAGACACGGUCCAGACUCCGACGGGAGGCAGCAGUAGGGAAUCUUCCGCAAUGGGCGAAAGCCUGACGGAGCAACGCCGCGUGAGUGAUGAAGGGCUUCGGAUCGUAAAACUGUGUUAUUAGGGAAGAACAAAUGUGUAAGGAACUAUGCACUUCGUGACGGUACCUAAUCAGAAAGCCACGGCUAACUACGUG
rnacentral:rRNA from 1 species